rnacentral:rRNA from 1 species
UAGGGAAUCUUCCACAAUGGACGAAAGUCUGAUGGAGCAACGCCGCGUGAGCGAUGAAGGCCUUCGGGUCGUAAAGCUCUGUUGUUAGGGAAGAACAAGUGCGAGAGUAACUGCUCGCACCUUGACGGUACCUAACCAGAAAGCCACGGCUAACUACGUGCCAGCAGCCGCGGUAAUACGUAGGUGGCAAGCGUUGUCCGGAAUUAUUGGGCGUAAAGCGCGCGCAGGUGGUCCUUUAAGUCUGAUGUGAAAGCCCACGGCUCAACCGUGGAGGGUCAUUGGAAACUGGGGGACUUGAGUGCAGAAGAGGAAAGUGGAAUUCCAAGUGUAGCGGUGAAAUGCGUAGAGAUUUGGAGGAACACCAGUGGCGAAGGCGACUUUCUGGUCUGUAACUGACACUGAGGCGCGAAAGCGUGGGGAGCAAACAGGAUUAGAUACCCUGGUAGUCCACGCCGUAAACGAUGAGUGCUAAGUGUUAGAGGGUUUCCGCCCUUUAGUGCUGCAGCUAACGCAUUAAGCACUCCGCCUGGGGAGUACGGUCGCAAGACUG